UGACGAGGAUGAGAACCUCCGGGGGCAAGAGGUUCGACCCGAGCGAAGCGAGAGAACGUUGCGCCAGCAACGGCCCGCAGUGGCAAGUCAUCCUCUGUCACCGGCAG
rnacentral:sRNA from 1 species